rnacentral:rRNA from 1 species
UACGUAGGGCGCAAGCGUUGUCCGGAAUUAUUGGGCGUAAAGAGCUCGUAGGCGGCUUGUCACGUCGGGUGUGAAAGCCCGGGGCUUAACCCCGGGUCUGCAUUCGAUACGGGCUAGCUAGAGUGUGGUAGGGGAGAUCGGAAUUCCUGGUGUAGCGGUGAAAUGCGCAGAUAUCAGGAGGAACACCGGUGGCGAAGGCGGCAUCCUGGACCGACAUUGACGCUGAGGAGCGAAAGCGUGGGGAGCGAACAGG